rnacentral:rRNA from 1 species
UCCGUAGGUGAACCUGCGGAAGGAUCAUUAUCAAGCGCGGCUCUGCCGCGGUUGGAAUAGAACCCUUGCCACCUUUUGAGCACCCCCGUUUCCUCGGCAGGUCCGCCUGCCACCGGGACACCACAAACCCUCUGUAAUUGUCGUACACGUCUGAAGAAACAAGCAAAUCUAUUAAAACUUUCAACAACGGAUCUCUUGGCUCUGGCAUCGAUGAAGAACGCAGCGAAAUGCGAUAAGUAGUGUGAAUUGCAGAAUUCAGUGAAUCAUCGAAUCUUUGAACGCACAUUGCGCCCCUCGGUACUCCUUGGGGCAUGCCUGUUCGAGCGUCAUUUCAACCCUCAAGCUCAGCUUGGUGAUGGGCGAUCGUCCCGCCGCUCGCGCGUGGACCCCGCCUCGAAAGCAUUGGCGGCCGGUACGUUGGCUUCGAGCGCAGCACAUUAGCGCCUCGAGCCCGGCGGACUGGCCCUCCAUUCAAGCCGAACCCCACAGCUUUGACCUCGGAUCAGGUAGGGAUACCCGCUGAACUUAAGCAUAUCAAUAAGCGGAGGAAGUCG